UACAUAGGGCGCAAGCGUUGUCCGGAAUUAUUGGGCGUAAAGAGCUCGUAGGCGGCCUGUUGCGUCCGCUGUGAAAUCCCGGGGCUCAACCCCGGGCGUGCAGUGGAUACGGGCUGGCUGGAGGCAGGCAGGGGAGAACGGAAUUCCUGGUGUAGCGGUGAAAUGCGCAGAUAUCAGGAGGAACACCGGUGGCGAAGGCGGCGACCUGGUCCGACACUGACGCUGAGGCGCGAAAGCGUGGGGAGCAAACAGG
rnacentral:rRNA from 1 species